CUGUAACCGCUGGGACUUCCUUUCAUCCCUCUGUAAUCUUUAGUUUCCAGCCAAACCUCUUGAUCCCUCGACAGGUAAACCGCCAGACCGCCUGAAGUCACCUGGAACCACAUGGGUAGAAAUUCACACAGUGUCACAUGGAGCGUGGG